rnacentral:rRNA from 1 species
GAUGAACGCUGGCGGCGUGCCUAAUACAUGCAAGUCGAGCGAACAGACGAGGAGCUUGCUCCUCUGACGUUAGCGGCGGACGGGUGAGUAACACGUGGAUAACCUACCUAUAAGACUGGGAUAACUUCGGGAAACCGGAGCUAAUACCGGAUAAUAUAUUGAACCGCAUGGUUCAAUAGUGAAAGACGGUUUUGCUGUCACUUAUAGAUGGAUCCGCGCCGCAUUAGCUAGUUGGUAAGGUAACGGCUUACCAAGGCAACGAAGCGUAGCCGACCUGAGAGGGUGAUCGGCCACACUGGAACUGAGACACGGUCCAGACUCCUACGGGAGGCAGCAGUAGGGAAUCUUCCGCAAUGGGCGAAAGCCUGACGGAGCAACGCCGCGUGAGUGAUGAGGGUCUUCGGAUCGUAAAACUCUGUUAUUAGGGAAGAACAAAUGUGUAAGUAACUAUGCACGUCUUGACGGUACCUAAUCAGAAAGCCACGGCUAACUACGUG